rnacentral:rRNA from 1 species
AUUGAACGCUGGCGGCAGGCCUAACACAUGCAAGUCGAGCGCGCGGCGUACGGGUGAGCAAUGUCUGGGAAACUGCCUGAUGGAGGGGGAUAACUACUGGAAACGGUAGCUAAUACCGCAUACCAUCAGAUGUGCCCAGAUGGGAUGAGCUAGUGGGUGGGGUAACGGCUCACCUAGGCGACGAUCCCUGGCUGGUCUGAGAGGAUGACCAGCCACACUGGAACUGAGACACGGUCCAGACUCCUACGGGAGGCAGCAGUGGGGAAUAUUGCACAAUGGGCGAAAGCCUGAUGCAGCCAUGCCGCGUGUAUGAAGAAGGCCUUCGGGUUGUAAAGUACUGUCAGCGGGGAGGCGUUACCCGCAGAAGAAGCACCGGCUAACUCCGUGCCAGCAGCCGCGGUAAUUC